rnacentral:tRNA from 1 species
UCUUAGAUUUAGUGGUUAAGGCAAUGGACUAGAAAUCCAUUGGGGUUUCCCCACGCAGGUUCGAAUCCUGCCGACAA